rnacentral:rRNA from 1 species
GAUGAACGCUGGCGGCGUGCCUAAUACAUGCAAGUCGAGCGAACAGAUGAGGAGCUUGCUCCUCUGACGUUAGCGGCGGACGGGUGAGUAACACGUGGAUAACCUACCUAUAAGACUAGGAUAACUUCGGGAAACCGGAGCUAAUACCGGAUAAUAUAUUGAACCGCAUGGUUCAAUAGUGAAAGACGGUUUUGCUGUCACUUAUAGAUGGAUCCGCGCCGCAUUAGCUAGUUGGUAAGGUAACGGCUUACCAAGGCAACGAUGCGUAGCCGACCUGAGAGGGUGAUCGGCCACACUGGAACUGAGACACGGUCCAGACUCCUACGGGAGGCAGCAGUAGGGAAUCUUCCGCAAAGGGCGAAAGCUUGACGGAGCAACGCCGCGUGAGUGAUGAAGGUCUUCGGAUCGUAAAACUCUGUUAUUAGGGAAGAACAAAUGUGUAAGUAACUAUGCACGUCUUGACGGUACCUAAUCAGAAAGCCACGGCUAACUACGUG